UACGUAGGGUGCGAGCGUUAAUCGGAAUUACUGGGCGUAAAGCGUGCGCAGGCGGUUCGUUAAGUCAGCUGUGAAAGCCCCGGGCUUAACCUGGGAAUUGCGGUUGAAACUGGCGAACUAGAAUCUGGCAGAGGGAGGUGGAAUUCCACGUGUAGCAGUGAAAUGCGUAGAGAUGUGGAGGAACACCGAUGGCGAAGGCAGCCUCCUGGGCCAGCACUGACGCUCAUGCACGAAAGCGUGGGGAGCAAACAGG
rnacentral:rRNA from 1 species